UGGCUAAAAUGUGUUGAUUGUAAUGGUUCCUAUUUUGAUUAAUAAAGAUGUGGUUGAGCCUAUUAUAAUGAUUUAAAAUUCAUGGUUCAAAACUGCAAUUACUUUUGCACCAA
rnacentral:miRNA from 1 species